AGUGAACGCUGGCGGUAGGCCUAACACAUGCAAGUCGAACGGCAGCACAGUAAGAGCUUGCUCUUACGGGUGGCGAGUGGCGGACGGGUGAGGAAUACAUCGGAAUCUACUUUUUCGUGGGGGAUAACGUAGGGAAACUUACGCUAAUACCGCAUACGACCUACGGGUGGAAGCAGGGGAUCUUCGGACCUUGCGCGAUUGAAUGAGCCGAUGUCGGAUUAGCUAGUUGGCGGGGUAAAGGCCCACCAAGGCGACGAUCCGUAGCUGGUCUGAGAGGAUGAUCAGCCACACUGGAACUGAGACACGGUCCAGACUCCUACGGGAGGCAGCAGUGGGGAAUAUUGGACAAUGGGCGCAAGCCUGAUCCAGCCAUACCGCGUGGGUGAAGAAGGCCUUCGGGUUGUAAAGCCCUUUUGUUCGGAAAGAAAAGCAGCAGGUUAAUACCCCGCUGUUCUGACGGUACCCAAAGAAUAAGCACCGGCUAACUUCGUG
rnacentral:rRNA from 1 species